rnacentral:rRNA from 1 species
UACGAGGGGGGCAAGCGUUAUUCGGAAUUAUUGGGCGUAAAGGGCGCGUAGGCGGCCUGGCAAGUGGAAGGUGAAAUCCCUCGGCUUAACCGAGGAACUGCCCUCCAAACUGCUUGGCUUGAGUCCGGGAGAGGUGAGUGGAAUUCCCAGUGUAGCGGCGAAAUGCGUAGAUAUUGGGAGGAACACCAGUGGCGAAGGCGGCUCACUGGACCGGAACUGACGCUGAGGCGCGAAAGCGUGGGGAGCAAACGGG